GCGUUCAAUUCAGCAGCACACAUACUAACACUGGAACAAUUCAGAGAAGAUCAGCAUGGCCCCUGCGCAAGGAUGACAUGCAAAUUCGUGAAGCGUUCGUAUUUUUA
rnacentral:snRNA from 1 species